rnacentral:rRNA from 1 species
GACCUGGUGACUAUAGCGAGAGUCCCAACACCCGAUCCCAUCCCGAACUCGGCCGUGAAAACUCUCAGCGCCAAUGGUACUGCAUCUUAAGGUGUGGGAGAGUAGGUCGUUGCCAGGUCU